UACGAAGGGGGCUAGCGUUGUUCGGAAUUACUGGGCGGAAAGCGCGCGUAGGCGGUGAUCUUUGUCAGAGGUGAAAGCCCGGGGCUCAACUCCGGAAUUGCCUUUGAAACGGGAUCGCUUGAGUCCGAGAGAGGAUGGCGGAAUUCCUAGUGUAGAGGUGAAAUUCGUAGAUAUUAGGAAGAACACCGGUGGCGAAGGCGGCCAUCUGGCUCGGUACUGACGCUCAGGCGCGAAAGCGUGGGGAGCAAACAGG
rnacentral:rRNA from 1 species